rnacentral:rRNA from 1 species
UUUAGUUAUAGAAUGUUACCUUGCAUAUUAAUGCAUUAUUAGUAUAACCUUCAGCAACGGAUCUCUUGGCUCUCGCAUCGAUGAGGAACGCAGCGCCCCCCCGAUAAGUAAUGUGAAUUGCAGAAUUCAGUGAAUCAUCGAAUCUUUGAACGCAUCUUGCGCCCUUUGGUAUUCCGAAGGGCAUGCCUGUUUGAGUGUCAUGGAAUUCUCAACCUCUGAAAUUUUUAAUAAUUGAAGAGGCUUGGACUUGGAGGUUGUGCUGGCUUCUAAAGUACGGCUCCUCUUAAAUAUAUUAGUGCGAAACUUAUGGAUCGCUCUUCAGUGUGAUAAUUAUCGACGCUGUGGGUGUGAAGUAUAUAUUGAUAUUUCGUGCUUCUAAUAGUCCUUUUUAAGGACAGAUAUAACUCUUUGACAUCUGACCUCAAAUCAGGUAGGACUACCCGCUGAACUUAAGCAUAUCAAUAAGCGGAGGAA